UACAGGGGGUGCAAACGUUGCUCGGAAUUAUUGGGCGUAAAGCGCGCGUAGGCGGCUACCUAAGUCGGAUGUGAAAGCCCCUGGCUUAACUGGGGAAGUGCACCCGAAACUGAGUAGCUAGAGUGCGAAAGAGGGUCGCGGAAUUCCCGGUGUAGAGGUGAAAUUCGUAGAUAUCGGGAGGAACACCGGUGGCGAAGGCGGCGACCUGGGUCGACACUGACGCUGAGGCGCGAAAGCGUGGGGAGCGAACGGG
rnacentral:rRNA from 1 species